rnacentral:lncRNA from 1 species
CAAGAGAGAAACAAGAGAGGAAGAGAAGAGUGAGAGAGGGAAAGUAAUCCCACAAAAUUGUGAGGUAUUUGUGAGAGAGUAAGUGAGGUGUUUUCUCCUAUUAAUAGAGAGAUUUCAGUUGUUCUCCUAUUAGUAGAGAGAGGUUGUAAUUCUCACAUUACUUAGUAAAAUCCUUCUAUACUUGCCCGUGGACGUAGCCAAAUUGGGUGAACCACGUAAAUUCUUGUGUGUCUAAUUUCUCAUUUUAUCCUAUCAUUUGUCUUUUAUCUUGUCGGGUUUGCAUGCCAGUAUUUCUAACAGUGGUAUCAGAGCCUUCUGGUUGGUGUUGUUAAUACACAAAAGUUAUUCGUGUAUACGGUUACUAUUCACGUCUACGGCACUAUUCACCUAUACGACACUAUUCAUCCAUACGGUACUGUUCACAUACGCUACUGUUGGCGUAUAUAGAAAGCCAGUGCGGUGAUUAAAUACAGUCUAGGAAGUUCUGUCUAAGGAGAUUGGGUUUUAAGCGGGACCGUUUGUGACCCCUCCAAUCUUUCCUGGGAACUUACUUAGUGAAGUAUUAUUCACACGAUACUAUUUCUAUAUACGUUACAGAUCUGUGAAACGGUGAUAGCUGAAUAGAUCUCGGUGAAUACAAUGGCAGCAAAGUACGAGAUAGAGAGGUUCAAGGGGAGCAAUUUCUCACUGUGGAAAAUGAGAAUCAAGGCAAUCUUAAGGAAAGACAAUUGCUUGGCAGCAAUUGGGGAUCGGCCCGCGGAGAUCACUGAUAAUGCAAAAUGGAAUGAAAUGGAUGGCAAUGCUAUUGCUAACAUACAUUUAGCAUUAGCCGAUGAAGUAUUAUCAAGUGUGGCGGAGAAGAAAACAGCUAAGGAGAUAUGGGAGACUCUAACAAAGCUAUAUGAGUCCAAGUCUUUGCACAAUAAGAUUUUCUUAAAGCGGAGACUUUAUACCCUUCGAAUGGCAGAAACCACGGCGGUGACUGACCACAUCAACACAAUAAGAACUCUAUUUUCACAACUCACUACGUUGGGUCAACAAAUAGAGGAAAGUGAACGUGCAGAGCUUCUACUUCAAAGUCUUCCAGAUUCGUAUGAUCAACUCAUUAUCAACUUGACCAAUAAUAUCCUCACAGACUAUUUAGUCUUUGAUGAUGUUGCAGCCGCCAUCUUGGAAGAAGAAAAUAGGCGCAAAAAUAAAGGAGACAGAAAUAGUUCAAACCAAGCAGAGGCAUUGUUGGUGUCAAGAGGGAGAUCAACGGAGCGUGGCUCCAGUGGGAGUCAAAGGCAGGGGAGGUCCAAAUCAAGAAGUAAGAAGACUGUGAAAUGCUACAACUGUGGCAGAAAAGGGCACUUCAAAAGGGAUUGUUGGUUUAAAAAGGGUGUAGAGAACACUGCAGAGUCAUCAAAACCUCAAGGAUGUGUUGCGAGCACCUCAGAAGAUGGGGAGGUUUUAUAUAGUGAAGCAGCGACAAUCUCUACAGAUAGAGAAGAGCUUACCGAGGUCUGGCUAAUGGAUUCAGGAGCAACAUGGCAUAUGACUCCUAAUCGAGAUUGGUUCCAAACAUAUGAACCCAUCUCUGGAGGCAAAGUGUUCAUGGGUGAUAAUCAUGCUGUAGAGAUUGCUGGCAUUGGCACCAUCAAAUUGAAGAUGUAUGAUGGCUUAAUUCGCACUAUUUCAGGAGUGCGACAUGUGAAAGACUUGAAGAAGAAUCUUUUGUCCGUAGGACAAUUUGAUAGUCUUGGCUGUAAGAUUCGAACAGACAAUGGAAUCAUGAAAAUUGUCAAAGGAGCGCUGGUAGUUUUAAAGGCGAGAAAGACAGUUGCAAACAUGUUUGUAUUAAUGGGAGAAACACAUCAUGGGGCAGAAGCGUCAAUCGCAUCAGCCAGUCCUGCAGAAGAGAAGACGAUGAUGUGGCAUCAAAAACUAGGCCACAUGUCAGAGAAAGGUUUGAAAGUUCUCUCUGAUCAGAAGUUACUCCCUGGGCUUACAAAGGUUACUUUACCCUUUUGUGAGCAUUGUGUUACAAGCAAACAGCACAGGUUGAAGUUUGGCACAUCAACAACUAAGAGCAAAUGCAUCUUAGACCUGAUUCACUCUGAUGUUUGGCAAGCACCGGUUGUAUCCUUGGGAGGAGCAAGAUACUUUGUAUCAUUCAUAGAUGCCUUCUCCAGGAGAUGUUGGGUGUAUCCAAUUAGAAGGAAGGCAGAUGUGUUCGCAAUCUUUAAAACUUUCAAAGCGCGGGUGGAACUUGAAUCUGAAAAGAAGAUCAAGUGUUUGAGGACUGACAAUGGAGGAGAAUAUACCAGUGAUGAAUUUGAUAACUUCUGUCAACAUGAAGGUAUCAAAAGGCAGUUCACAACGGCAUACACUCCACAACAAAAUGGAGUGGCAGAGCGGAUGAACAGAACUCUAUUAGAAAGAACAAGAGCAAUGUUUAAGACUGCAGGUCUAGGAAAGUCAUUCUGGGCAGAAGCAGUCAAUACCGCCUGUUAUGUGAUAAAUCGAUCUCCGUCAACUACAAUUGAGCUGAAGACACCGAUGGAGAUGUGGACUGGAAAACCAGCUGAUUAUUCUCGAUUGCAUAUAUUUGGAAGUCCUGUGUACGUGAUGUACAAUACACAAGAAGUUAGCAAGCUGGAUUCAAAAUCCAGAAAAUGUAUAUUCUUGGGAUAUGCUGAUGGGAGUGAAGGGGUAUCGCUUGUGGGAUCCCACUGCCCACAAGGUAGUCAUCAGCAGAGAUGUUAUAUUUGCAGAAGAUAAAAUGCAAAUGGAAGAAAAUAAUAGCAUUUUAAAGGAGACUACAGAAGUCCAGAUGGAAAAUACUCAGAAGCGUACUUCUUCUGAAGCUGCACCAGAGCAUGAAGAACAAGAACAAAUAGAGUCUGAAACUCCUGAAGUUCGACGGUCAACUCGUGAAAGAAGACCACCGGCUUGGCACUCAGAAUAUGUUACUGAGAGCAACAUUGCAUACUGUCUUCUAACUGAGGAUGGAGAGCCAUCAACUUUCCAUGAGGCUAUCAAAAGCACAGAUGUAUCUAUGUGGAUGACAACAAUGCAAGAGGAGAUUGAAGCUUUGCACAAGAAUAACACUUGGGAUCUUGUUCCGCUACCACAAGGAAGAAAGGCCAUUGGCAACAAAUGGGUUUACAAGAUAAAACGUGAUGGCAAUGAUCAAGUGGAGCGGUAUCGUGCAAGAUUGGUGGUGAAAGGGUAUGCACAGAAAGAAGGGAUAGACUUCAAUGAGAUAUUUUCUCCGGUGGUACGACUUACUACAAUCAGAGUAGUCUUGGCAAUGUGUGCUAUAUUUGAUCUUCACCUAGAGCAGUUAGAUGUGAAAACUGCAUUUCUUCAUGGAGAACUUGAAGAAGAAAUUUAUAUGCUCCAACCAGAGGGUUUUGCUGAAACAAGCAAGGAGAACUUGGUUUGCAGGUUGAACAAAUCUCUAUACGGUCUCAAACAGGCAUCGAGGUGUUGGUACAAGAGAUUUGAUUCCUUCAUAAUUAGCCUUGGGUACAACAGACUCAGUUCAGACCAUUGUACGUAUUACAAGAGGUUUGAAGAAGAAGAUGUUUUCAUCAUUUUGUUGUUGUACGUGGAUGACAUGUUGGUAAUAGGCCCCAACAAAGAUCAAGUCCAAGAAUUGAAGGCACAGUUGGCUAGGGAGUUUGAUAUGAAGGACUUGGGACCAGCAAACAAGAUUCUAGGGAUGCAAAUUCACCGAGACAGAAGUAAAAGGAAGAUUUGGCUUUCUCAGAAGAAUUAUUUGAAGAAGAUCUUGCGUCGUUUCAACAUGCAAGAUUGUAAGCCAAUUUCCACCCUAUUUCCUGUUAACUUCAAAUUAUCCUCAAGUAUGUCUCCUAGCAAUGAAGUAGAGGGGAUGGAGAUGUCUCGAGUACCGUAUGCAUCAGUAGUGGGAAGUUUAAUGUUUGCCAUGAUAUGUACAAGACCAGACAUUGCACAAGCAGUGGGAGCAGCUAGUCGAUACAUGGCAAAUCCUGGUAGAGAGCAUUGGAAUACUAUUAAGAGGAUCUUGAGAUAUAUCAAGGGUACCUCAGAUGCCGCAUUACGUUAUGGAGGGUCAGAAUUUACUGUCAAAGGUUAUGUUGAUUCAGAUUUUGCUGGCGACCUUGAGAAAAGAAAAUCCACUACAGGCUAUGUGUUCAUAAUUGCAGGAGGAGCUGUGAGCUGGGUCUCUAAACUUCAGACUGUUGUAGCUUUAUCCACAACAGAAGUUAAGUACAUGGCAGCUACACAAGCUUGUAAAGAAGCAAUAUGGAUGAAGAAACUUAUGGAGGAGCUCGGACACAAACAAGAGAAGAUUCUUUUGUAUUGUGAUAGUCAGAGUGCUUUGCAUAUUGCAAGGAAUCCAGCAUUUCAUUCAAGAACAAAACACAUAGAUGUUCAGUAUCACUUUGUUCGCGAAGUGGUGGAAGAUGGAAGUGUGGAUUUUCAGAAGGUUCACACAAAGGAAAACCCAGCAGAUGUUUUGACCAAACCAGUCAAUAUUGACAAGUAUAUAUGGUGCAGAUCCUCCUAUGGCCUAACUGAAACGUAAGCAGCAUGAAGAUGGCAAGUAUACAAAGGAUAGAAGAAUCACAAAUGAUCAAGUGUGAAGACUUGAUUAAAUCAUCAAAGUCUUCAAGUGGGAGAAUGUGAAGCCAGCUAUGAAACCAGCUAGGCAAGCACUAAUUAGUGCAACUUGCGGCACUAAUUAGUAUCAAUUAUUGCAGCACUAAUUAAUGUCAAUUAGUGCCACUUGCCUUGCUCUUAUCUUUUGCAAGACAAAGGCAAGGAUGCUUGCCUAUAAAUAGGCAGUGCAUCCUUGCCAUAGUAUACACACCACAAGAGAGAAACAAGAGAGGAAGAGAAGAGUGAGAGGGAAAGUAAUCCCACAAAAUUGUGAGGUAUUUGUGAGAGAGUAAGUGAGGUGUUUUCUCCUAUUAAUAGAGAGAUUUCAGUUGUUCUCCUAUUAGUAGAGAGAGGUUGUAAUUCCCACAUUACUUAGUAAAAUCCUUCUAUACUUGCCCGUGGACGUAGCCAAAUUGGGUGAACCACGUAAAUUCUUGUGUGUCUAAUUUCUCAUUUUAUCCUAUCAUUUGUCUUUUAUCUUGUCGGGUUUGCAUGCU